UUUUGAUUCCCAUAUGAUAUAAAUAUAGUAUAAUUAAUUAAUAGGUUAAUCUAAUAUAAAAGAUAUUUAAACAGAGAGAGAAAUGAGAAUUUAAACUUGAGUGUUAGGAAUAAAACAAUUAAAAAAAUUUGGAAAAAUUAUAAAACACAAACAUGAAGAAAUGUUUAGUCAUAAUCGGACAAAUUAGUUUGUUGAAUCAUUUUCCAACAAUGUUGACAACUAUUCUGCAGUUUUCUCCGCUAUGUUUGAUAGAAAGUGACGGCACCAAAAGAGGAUUAAUAAUGUUGAUGGUUUAGUGAUGUUGGCAGCAUGUGUUAGAUUCUCUGCGAUCUUCCCAAUGGAGAAGAUAAGUUAUGCUUUCUACUACACCAUGACGAUAUUUUGUUAUACAUUGUAUUUGGCUUGUGGUUUUGAUAUUCAUUUGCGAUCACAUCUGCAAAGGAUGGAGAGAUGAAAAUGUUUUUCACACGCUAGUUUGUGGGCUUCGUGAGUACAACGAUGAUUUUAUAUGACACUGGAGUGAUAAAGAGAAUACAACGAAUCUUUGUAAAAGUCUGUUAUAUAUCAGCGUGUCACUUUCAUUUUGUCAGUCAAAUUUGUUUUUGACUGUGGACAAACAAUUUCAUGCCAUUAUACCAGUGAAGGCACUUGGUAUUUUAAGUGAACUCUUUACAGAAAUGUAAACAUGAAUAAUUUUAUUCAGCAGUUGACCACAAAGCGCUGCAUUACUUAUUCAAUGCAAACAUAUCUUUAUCUUUGUUAUUAAAAUAA